UACGAUGGGGGCAAGCGUUGUUCGGAAUUAUUGGGCGUAAAGGGCGCGUAGGCGGUUUGGCAAGUUUCGUGUGAAAACUUCGGGCUCAACUCGAAGCCUGCACGGAAAACUGCCGGGCUUGAGUAUGGGAGAGGUGAGUGGAAUUUCCGGUGUAGCGGUGAAAUGCGUAGAUAUCGGAAGGAACACCUGUGGCGAAAGCGGCUCACUGGACCAUAACUGACGCUGAUGCACGAAAGCGUGGGGAUCGAACAGG
rnacentral:rRNA from 1 species